rnacentral:tRNA from 1 species
UCUGUGGCUCAAUGGAUAGAGCAACGGACUUCGGAUCCGUAGGUUGGGGGUUCGAGUCCCUCCAGGCG